ACCUUAAAACUAGCCUGACCACCCUUAAUUAGUUACAAUAUUACUAAUAAGUUACAUUAAUAUUUUAUACUUAAAACAUUUUAACAAUCCUAGUAUAGGUGAUAGAACAGAUAAUACUUAGCGCUAUAGAGAAAGUACCGCAAGGGAAAGCUGAAAGAGAAAUGAAAUAAAUCAUUAAAGUAAUAAAAAGCAAAGAUUAAACCCUGUACCUUUUGCAUCAUGAUUUAGUGAGAACAAGUGGGCAAAAAGACCUUAAGUCCACCUUCCCGAAACUAGACGAGCUACUUCGGAGCAGCAUAUUAGAGCUAACCCGUCUCUGUGGCAAAAGAGUGGGACGACUUCCAAGUAGAGGUAAAAAGCCUACCGAGCCUAGUAAUAGCUGGUUACCCAAGAAAAGAACUUUAAUUCUGCAAUAAUUAUUCAAUUCAUCAAAUUAGAUUUCUAAAUAAGAAAAAUUGUAAAAAUUAUUAGUUAUUCAAAAGAGGUACAACUCUUUUGAAUUAAGAAACAACUUUAUUAGGUGGGUAUAGAUCAUAUUAUGUAAGGGUUUCGCCCCAGUAGGCUUAAAAGCAGCCAUCUGAUUAGCAAGCGUUACAGCUCCAGCUUUAACCCACCUAUAAUUCUGAUAUUAACUCUUAACCCCCUAACCAAUAUUGGGUUUUUUUAUUAUUAAAUAAUAAAAGAACAUAUACUAAAAUGAGUAAUUAGAGGAUUAACCUCUCCAAACACCAGUGUAAGUCAGAAAGAAUUAAAUCACUGAUAAUUAUCCGAUACCAACCUGAGGUAAUAAUAUUAAUAAUAAAAAACUAGAAAAACACAUUUACCCAAUCGUUAACCCUACACAGGAAUGUUUUAAAGAAAGAUUUAAAGAAAAUAAAGGAACUCGGCAAACAUAGACUCCGCCUGUUUACCAAAAACAUCGCCUCUUGCAAACACCGUAUAAGAGGUCCCGCCUGCCCUGUGACAUUGUUUUAACGGCCGCGGUAUUUUGACCGUGCGAAGGUAGCGUAAUCACUUGUCUUUUAAUUAAAGACCUGUAUGAAAGGCAUCACGAGAGUCUAACUGUCUCUAUUUUCUAAUCAAUGAAAUUGAUCUUCCCGUGCAGAAGCGGGAAUAAAACCAUAAGACGAGAAGACCCUAUGGAGCUUUAAACACUUAAGUUAUUAUUUCUUUACUUGUAUCCUAAGGGUUUAACUUUAAUAAUAAUAACGUAACUUAAUGUUUUCGGUUGGGGCGACCGAGGAGUAAAAAGAAACCUCCUCAUCGAUUGAGUAUACUACUUAAAAAUCUGAACGACAGUUCUGAUCUAUAGAAUAUCUAACGAAUAAUGACCCAGGAUUAAAAUUUCCUGAUCAAUGAACCAAGUUACCCUAGGGAUAACAGCGCAAUCCUUUCUAAGAGCCCAUAUCGCCGAAAGGGUUUACGACCUCGAUGUUGGAUCAGGACAUCCUAAUGGUGUAACCGCUAUUAAGGGUUCGUUUGUUCAACGAUUAAUAGUCCUACGUGAUCUGAGUUCAGACCGGAGUAAUCCAGGUCAGUUUCUAUCUAUGUAGAUAUUUUC
rnacentral:rRNA from 1 species